AGAGUUUGAUCAUGGCUCAGAUUGAACGCUGGCGGCAGGCCUAACACAUGCAAGUCGAACGGUAACAGGAAGCAGCUUGCUGCUUCGCUGACGAGUGGCGGACGGGUGAGUAAUGUCUGGGAAACUGCCUGAUGGAGGGGGAUAACUACUGGAAACGGUGGCUAAUACCGCAUAACGUCGCAAGACCAAAGAGGGGGACCUUCGGGCCUCUUGCCAUCAGAUGUGCCCAGAUGGGAUUAGCUAGUUGGUGAGGUAACGGCUCACCAAGGCGACGAUCCCUAGCUGGUCUGAGAGGAUGACCAGCCACACUGGAACUGAGACACGGUCCAGACUCCUACGGGAGGCAGCAGUGGGGAAUAUUGCACAAUGGGCGCAAGCCUGAUGCAGCCAUGCCGCGUGUAUGAAGAAGGCCUUCGGGUUGUAAAGUACUUUCAGCGGGGAGGAAGGUGUUGUGGUUAAUAACCACAGCAAUUGACGUUACCCGCAGAAGAAGCACCGGCUAACUCCGUGCCAGCAGCCGCGGUAAUACGGAGGGUGCAAGCGUUAAUCGGAAUUACUGGGCGUAAAGCGCACGCAGGCGGUCUGUCAAGUCGGAUGUGAAAUCCCCGGGCUCAACCUGGGAACUGCAUUCGAAACUGGCAGGCUUGAGUCUUGUAGAGGGGGGUAGAAUUCCAGGUGUAGCGGUGAAAUGCGUAGAGAUCUGGAGGAAUACCGGUGGCGAAGGCGGCCCCCUGGACAAAGACUGACGCUCAGGUGCGAAAGCGUGGGGAGCAAACAGGAUUAGAUACCCUGGUAGUCCACGCCGUAAACGAUGUCUACUUGGAGGUUGUGCCCUUGAGGCGUGGCUUCCGGAGCUAACGCGUUAAGUAGACCGCCUGGGGAGUACGGCCGCAAGGUUAAAACUCAAAUGAAUUGACGGGGGCCCGCACAAGCGGUGGAGCAUGUGGUUUAAUUCGAUGCAACGCGAAGAACCUUACCUGGUCUUGACAUCCACGGAAGUUUUCAGAGAUGAGAAUGUGCCUUCGGGAACCGUGAGACAGGUGCUGCAUGGCUGUCGUCAGCUCGUGUUGUGAAAUGUUGGGUUAAGUCCCGCAACGAGCGCAACCCUUAUCCUUUGUUGCCAGCGAUUAGGUCGGGAACUCAAAGGAGACUGCCAGUGAUAAACUGGAGGAAGGUGGGGAUGACGUCAAGUCAUCAUGGCCCUUACGACCAGGGCUACACACGUGCUACAAUGGCGCAUACAAAGAGAAGCGACCUCGCGAGAGCAAGCGGACCUCAUAAAGUGCGUCGUAGUCCGGAUUGGAGUCUGCAACUCGACUCCAUGAAGUCGGAAUCGCUAGUAAUCGUGGAUCAGAAUGCCACGGUGAAUACGUUCCCGGGCCUUGUACACACCGCCCGUCACACCAUGGGAGUGGGUUGCAAAAGAAGUAGGUAGCUUAACCUUCGGGAGGGCGCUUACCACUUUGUGAUUCAUGACUGGGGUGAAGUCGUAACAAGGUAACCGUAGGGGAACCUGCGGUUGGAUCACCU
rnacentral:rRNA from 1 species